UGCCNCACUGGGACUGARACACGGCCCAGACUCCUACGGGAGGCAGCAGUGAGGAAUAUUGGUCAAUGGGCGAAAGCUGAACCAGCCAUUCCGCGUGUAGGAAGACGGUCUUAUGGAUUGUAAACUACUUUUAUACAGGAAGAAUAGUGGCUACGAGAUAGUUAUUUGACGGUACUGUAGGAAAAAGCACCGGCUAACUCCGUGCCAGCAGCCGCGGUAAUACGGNGGGUGCGAGCGUUAUCCGGAUUUAUUGGGUUUAAAGGGUCUGUAGGCGGUUUUAUAAGUCAGUGUUGAAAAGCUCUUGCUCAACGAGGGUCGCGGCAUUGAAACUGUAGGUCUUGAAUUCGGUGGCAGCGGCUGGAAUGUGUAGUGUAGCGGUGAAAUGCAUAGAGAUUACACAGAAGGCCGAUUGCGCAGGCAGGCCGCUACGCCGAGAUUGACGCUGAGAGGCGAAAGCGUGGGGAGCGAACGGGAUUAGAUACCCCGGUAGUCCACGCUGUAAACGAUGAUUACUCGGUGUUGGAGUGAUAUUGAGWCUUCAGUACCCAAGCGAAAGCAUUAAGUWAUCCACCUGGGGAGUWCGUUCGCAWGGAUGAAACUCAWAGGAAUUGACGGGGGCCCGCACAAGCGGUGGAGCAUGUGGUUUAAUUCGAUGAUACGCGAGGAACCUUACCAAGGCUUAAAUGCACAUUGCCGGCAAUUGAAAGAUUGUGUUCUUCGGACGAUGUGCAAGGUGCUGCAUGGUUGUCGUCAGCUCGUGCCGUGAGGUGUCAGGUUAAGUCCUAUAACGAGCGCAACCCCUAUCGAUAGUUGCUAACAGGUCAAGCUGAGGACUCUAUCGAGACUGCCUGCGCAWGCAGSGAGGAAGGUGAGGAUGACGUA
rnacentral:rRNA from 1 species